rnacentral:rRNA from 1 species
AGCGAACGCUGGCGGCAGGCUUAACACAUGCAAGUCGAACGGGCACCUUUCGGGGUGUCAGCGGCGGACGGGUGAGUAACGCGUGGGAACGUGCCCUCUGGUUCGGAAUAACUCAGGGAAACUUGAGCUAAUACCGGAUACGCCCUUUUGGGGAAAGGCUUGCUGCCGGAGGAUCGGCCCGCGUCUGAUUAGCUAGUUGGUGAGGUAACGGCUCACCAAGGCGACGAUCAGUAGCUGGUCUGAGAGGAUGAUCAGCCACACUGGGACUGAGACACGGCCCAGACUCCUACGGGAGGCAGCAGUGGGGAAUAUUGGACAAUGGGCGCAAGCCUGAUCCAGCCAUGCCGCGUGAGUGAUGAAGGCCUUAGGGUUGUAAAGCUCUUUUAUCCGGGACGAUAAUGACGGUACCGGAGGAAUAAGCCCCGGCUAACUUCGUG